rnacentral:lncRNA from 1 species
UAGCCUUACACAAGCUUCCCACAAUAAGUUGGGUGAAUAUUGGACCAUUCCUGCUGACAGAGCUGGAUGUAAGUGACCAUCAUCACUCCCCAAUCAGUCAUCAAUCAGUCCCCAAUCAGAAGACACCUGUUCCUUUUCCCUCAACCUAUCACAGCCCCUUUCCCUUGGUUUAAAAACCCAGUCAGUUGUUUUCUCCCGAGAUCAAUCUUUGUGUUCAUUCCCUCAAUCUCUCUGUGUUCAAGCUCUCUCUCUGUCCCUAGCUCUACAUCUCUGUGUUGAUCUCUUUUGUUUUGAAACUACAUGUCACUUUCUCCAUCCCACCUACUGCUGGGCCAAAGGGAUUCGUAACACCUCCCCUCAGCAGCCUCAUGUGUUUAAUACUGAGCUGGAGGAGAUUCCAAGGCUGUGAUGCUUCGAGUUUCCACUGCCAUCUACUGGGUCAAUGUGGCAACUGCACACAGUUGUCUAUUUUCCCUCGUAACAUGUGCUGCUGAUGAGCUGGUUGCUGACAGGCGGGACCUGGGGCUGGCUGAGGGUCAAUCUCAUCCUCUUCUUCCAACUCACUGUCAGACUCCGAAUUGACAGAGACAUGAUCCUCAUAUUCGGAAAGUGGAAGACGCUCCUUCCACAUUAGCUUCUCUCUCUGCAGAAAUUAUUUCCAAGGUCCUCUCUGAGCAGAGAUUAUUUUUUGCCGUACUGUUCGAUUGUGGUAAGAAGCCACACAUGCAAAGCUAUUUAUUUGUUUGUGUCCCUUCCUUAAUUAACACCUGGCUGGGAUAGUGUGGGAAAAUACUGACUUUUUUUUACAAUGUAUCGAAAUAACAUUGUGCAGGUUCCUGCAAGACGUUGUGUAGUUUCACUACAAAGGGUAAAGAGUGGGAGAAAGGCAGGGAGACAGACAGACAGACAGGCAGGGAGACAGACAGACAGGCAGGGAGACAGACAGACAGGCAGGGAGACAGACAGACAGGCAGGGAGACAGACAGACAGGCAGGGAGACAGACAGACAGGCAGGGAGACAGACAGACAGACAGGCAGGGAGACAGACAGGCAGGCAGGGAGACAGACAGGCAGGGAGACAGACAGACAGGUUCUUGGUGCUAUGAUGAAACAACAGGCCCAGAGAGGAGGAAGACACAGUGAAAGCACACAGAAAACCAUUUUGUAAAAUGUUUACUUGUUUUCACCUACACACACACUUGUCCACACUUGUAUUAGCUUCGGGUCCAGUGGACCUGAACACCACAUAUGUAAUAUAAAUGUGUAGGUGGGUGCACAGUGUGCACUCAAUGCAAAUAUCUUCUUUUACAUGUUCUUUCACAUGUUCUUCCAGCCCAAUUAUCAAUAUCUAAGUAGACCAGACCCAGCUGGUAAUGCAUUAGUGGCUAUGGGAGAACCAACCCCUUAAUAAGCAGACUGAAACGGAUCAUUUUAUGUAAUAUUAAAUGGCCUGAGUGGGACGUCUUCAUUUAUCCACCAUAUUUUAGGGGAGGCUGAUCUAGCUCUCGGUGUCUGUUCAGAUGGAAUGUCUGUCUCUCCUCUGUUUGUGUUAUCGGAGCCAUAUAUCUAGAUCUAGUUAAAUAUAUGACUCUGCCUGUAAUGGACUGAUGCUUCUCCUUCACGAGCAUUUGGUUAACAUGUUAUGUCACUACUGAUUAUCAUUCUAACUACCAUAUUUCACUACUGAUUGUCAUUGCUUUUCAACAGCUUCUACCCC